rnacentral:rRNA from 1 species
GAUGAACCACUUCGGUGGGGAUUAGUGGCGAACGGGUGAGUAACACGUGGGCAAUCUGCCCUGCACUCUGGGACAAGCCCUGGAAACGGGGUCUAAUACCGGAUACUGACCAUCACGGGCAUCUGUGGUGGUCGAAAGCUCCGGCGGUGCAGGAUGAGCCCGCGGCCUAUCAGCUAGUUGGUGAGGUAAUGGCUCACCAAGGCGACGACGGGUAGCCGGCCUGAGAGGGCGACCGGCCACACUGGGACUGAGACACGGCCCAGACUCCUACGGGAGGCAGCAGUGGGGAAUAUUGCACAAUGGGCGAAAGCCUGAUGCAGCGACGCCGCGUGAGGGAUGACGGCCUUCGGGUUGUAAACCUCUUUCAGCAGGGAAGAAGCGAAAGUGACGGUACCUGCAGAAGAAGCGCCGGCUAACUACGUGCCAGCAGCCGCGGUAAUACGUAGGGCGCAAGCGUUGUCCGGAAUUAUUGGGCGUAAAGAGCUCGUAGGCGGCUUGUCACGUCGGUUGUGAAAGCCCGGGGCUUAACCCCGGGUCUGCAGUCGAUACGGGCAGGCUAGAGUUCGGUAGGGGAGAUCGGAAUUCCUGGUGUAGCGGUGAAAUGCGCAGAUAUCAGGAGGAACACCGGUGGCGAAGGCGGAUCUCUGGGCCGAUACUGACGCUGAGGAGCGAAAGCGUGGGGAGCGAACAGGAUUAGAUACCCUGGUAGUCCACGCCGUAAACGGUGGGCACUAGGUGUGGGCAACAUUCCACGUUGUCCGUGCCGCA